rnacentral:rRNA from 1 species
UACGGAGGAUCCAAGCGUUAUCCGGAAUCAUUGGGUUUAAAGGGUCCGUAGGCGGGCCUGUAAGUCAGUGGUGAAAUCUUUCGGCUCAACCGGAAAAUUGCCAUUGAUACUGCAGGCCUUGAAUUAUUGGGAAGUAACUAGAAUAUGUAGUGUAGCGGUGAAAUGCUUAGAUAUUACAUGGAACGCCGAAGGUGAAAACAGGUUGCUGGGGUUGUGCCGACGCUGAGACACGAAAGCCAGGGGAGCAAACGGG